UACGUAGGGUGCAAGCGUUGUCCGGAAUUAUUGGGCGUAAAGAGCUCGUAGGCGGUUUGUCGCGUCUGCUGUGAAAACCCGAGGCUCAACCUCGGGCCUGCAGUGGGUACGGGCAGACUAGAGUGCGGUAGGGGAGAUUGGAAUUCCUGGUGUAGCGGUGGAAUGCGCAGAUAUCAGGAAGAACACCCGUGGCUAAGGCGGCUCUCUAGUACGGUACUGACGCUGAGACGCGAAAGCGUGGGGAGCGAACAGG
rnacentral:rRNA from 1 species